GCUGGUGGCUAAACAGUUAAGUGCUCUGCUGCUAACGGAAAAGUUGGUGGUUCGAACCCACCCAGCA
rnacentral:tRNA from 1 species